CCAAGGAGUCUAACAUGUGCGCGAGUCACUCGGUCUUGUUUAGGCCAGAGAGGCGCAAUGAAAGUAAAUUUGCUAAGUUACGAUCCGUACGCGGUCAUUCCUCGUGGGUGACGGUGCGGCGCAGUAACAGCCCGCCAAUUCCGUAUAUUAGCGGUCUGGCGGAGUUGUAGCGUACACGUUGGUACCCGAAAGAUGGUGAACUAUGCUUGGGCAAGACGAAGCCAGAGGAAACUCUGGUGGAGGUCUGUAGCGAUUCUGACGUGCAAAUCGAUCGUCAGACCUGAGUAUAGGGGCGAAAGACUAAUCGAACCAUC
rnacentral:rRNA from 2 species